CGAUCCGCCGAAGUUCCUCCGAUGACUCGGCGGGCAGCUUCCGGGAAACCAAAGCUUUUGGGUACCGGGGGAAGUAUGGUUGUAAAGCUGAAACUUAAAGGAACUGAUGGAAGGGCACCCCCAGGAGUGGAGCCUGCGGCUUAAUUUGACUCAGCACGGGAAACCUCACCAGGCCCGGAUACCGGAAGGAUUGACAGAUUGAUAGCUCUUUCUUGAUUCGGUGGGUGGUGGUGCAUGGCCGUU
rnacentral:ncRNA from 1 species